rnacentral:piRNA from 1 species
UGUGUACACGCACGAAAGCAUUUUGCGAUU